rnacentral:tRNA from 1 species
UAAGCAGAAGCCAAUUGGGGGCGCCUAACUGUUAAUUAGGAACUUGUAGUGUACUACCUGUUUGG